CGCUUGUUCGCUCACCCUCAGUGAAAAGAGUUUUGAAAUGAGUUCUGAAUAGACAGCAUUUUCUUUGUGCGGUUGGUAAAUAACCCAGAGCAAAGUUAGCAAGUUGCAGCGCCUCUGCGUUCUGAUUCUAUGGAACCUUUUUGUAGGGAGAAGGGCAGGAUGUGUUUAACUGAAUGUGACCUCACGGGAAUACGAGAGAAAAUAAUAAAGUUUCUGAAUGGGGCAGCGUGGAGAAAUCCUAAGAGGAUUAGCAUAAGAGCAUUUUGGAACACAUCCAGGAAAAGAUAACUUUCGACACACCUGUAGACAUUCGCCAGGUAAAGGAGCGAUGGGAACUCUCCAGUUCAGAUCCAGUAGCUUUUAGGGAAGGUAAGUAAAAGCUAUUGAAAAAUAAACUUUUCCCCCAAAGAAAAAGAAUCUCCAACUUUUCAACAUCCAUCAAAAACCUGAGACGUUGAGGAAUUUCAUUUUGGAGGAUCAGCAAAGAUGCUUGAUUUGGUUAGUGUUGGUAUCCUCAUGGUAAUUUUGGUUAUAUUCAUACAGAUUUUUUUCAGAAAGUGUUUACACCUGUUUGUUCUUAUUUGUGACUUCAUAUGUCUGAUAUUAGGGGCAUUAAUAUGUAAAACAUUCAGAAUUAAAAUGUAUGACUAAAAAAUGUGGUAGACAGGAUAAAGUCCCUCACAAAAAUAUCCAUGAACUCCCUGAAAUCUGUGAAUACAUUAUCUUUCACGGCAAAGGGAUGUGAUUUAAUGAGGAACUUUGAGAUUAUCCUGUUAAUCUAAAAAAGACAAACUAAUCACAUGAUCCUGAAGAAAAAGGCCAAAGAAUGAGUCAGGGAGAUGCAAUGUGAGAAAGACUCAGAGUAACCCACCAUUGCUGACGUUGAAAAUAGAGGAAGCAGGCCAUUCGCCGAAAAAGGCAGUGGGCUGUGGAAGCUGGGCAUGGCUCUCAGUUUAAGGCCUGCAAGAAAACAGCAGUCUCAGUUCUACAACAGCAAGGAACUGGAUUCCACCAACAGUCCAGUGAGUAAGGAAAUGCAUUCUCCUUUGGAGCUUCCAGAAUGGAAUGUAGCUUAACGUGGUUUUAGUCUGGUGAGACCAUACCAGACUUUGAACCUCUAGAACUGUAAGAUGACAGCUUUGUGCCUUUGUCAGCCAUCACAUUUGUGAAGAUUUGUUACAGCAAUAAUAGAAAACUAGAACGGAUAAUAGGCCCACCUAUAGAUGGGACAUAUUUUGUAGCUGCUGAUCUAAAUCCUGUGAGUAAAUUUCUGUAUUUGAAUGAAGAAAAACUUUUCUUGAGAGGCUAAGAUUGAUAGUCUAUAAGAAUUGGAAUAUUGAUUUUGUUGAUUCAAAUGAUGCUUUUUGCCAGCUUAGAGAGUUCUGUUUUCUACUUUGUGAUAUCCCUCCUUCCCCAGAAAUUCUUUGUAUGCCAUAUUUGUAAACACAAUUCCUGUGUCACCCAAGAUGCAGAUGAGUACAUGCUUUAUUGGACUUUUUAGUGAGUCUCUGUUUACUUGAGCAUGGGUGAGUGGAAUGGAACAUCAAAGGAUCGAAGGCCAGGUCUCUGCUGUAGAGAUCUGACAGGCAAAGAAUGCUAAGCCUAGUGCUUGAAAGCAGAUGGUGGCCAUGUGAAUCCUGGUUCUACCUCGUUCUACCGGUGUGAACCCUGGGUAAGGUGGUGAGCUCAAUUUCCUUCCCUAAUCUCACAUGUAACAUUGAUAAUACUUCACCGUAGGCAUGCUAAGAUGACUAAGUAAAACAACACACAUAAAUUCUAGCAAGAGUGUCUGUCAUUCUAUGAGUUUGGUAAAGGUAACGUGUGUUUAUUUAGAAAAUAUUGUGUCGCCUCACCAUUUUCAUUCAAAAAAUAAAUUGGUUUUGUCUUUA